rnacentral:rRNA from 1 species
UAGAGUUUGAUCCUGGCUCAGAUUGAACGCUGGCGGCAUGCCUUACACAUGCAAGUCGAACGGUAACAGGUCUUCGGAUGCUGACGAGUGGCGAACGGGUGAGUAAUACAUCGGAACGUGCCCGAUCGUGGGGGAUAACAAGGCGAAAGCUUUGCUAAUACCGCAUACGAUCUACGGAUGAAAGCGGGGGAUCUUCGGACCUCGCGCGGACGGAGCGGCCGAUGGCAGAUUAGGUAGUUGGUGGGAUAAAAGCUUACCAAGCCGACGAUCUGUAGCUGGUCUGAGAGGAUGAUCAGCCACCCUGGGACUGAGACACGGCCCAGACUCCUACGGGAGGCAUCAUUGGGGAAUUUUGGACAUGGGCAAAGCCUGA